rnacentral:rRNA from 1 species
AACGAACGCUGGCGGCAGGCUUAACACAUGCAAGUCGAGCGCCCCGCAAGGGGAGCGGCAGACGGGUGAGUAACGCGUGGGAAUCUACCCAUCUCUACGGAAUAACGCAUGGAAACGUGUGCUAAUACCGUAUACGUCCUUCGGGAGAAAGAUUUAUCGGAGAUGGAUGAGCCCGCGUUGGAUUAGCUAGUUGGUGGGGUAAAGGCCUACCAAGGCGACGAUCCAUAGCUGGUCUGAGUGGAUGAUCAGCCACACUGGGACCGAGACACGGCCCAGACUCCUACGGGAGGCAGCAGUGGGGAAUAUUGGACAAUGGGCGCAAGCCUGAUCCAGCCAUGCCGCGUGAGUGAUGAAGGCCCUAGGGUUGUAAAGCUCUUUCACCGGUGAAGAUAAUGACGGUAACCGGAGAAGAAGCCCCGGCUAACUUCGUGCCAGCCGCCGCGGUAAAAC